GCUGUUCCUGUGAACAGAGCAGAGUGGGAGGCAGGCGUCAAAAUUGCUGCAGAACAGCCCAUACCGCAGGGCUGGGGGUUUUCCUGCUAUACCUGCCAUCGGUCCAGACCCCAUAGAGAAGGCCACACAGGCAAAUUCCUGAGAAGGGUGAGCCAGCUCACAAAGGUGCCAUUCUAGAGAAAUCUCAGAAGAGAGAAAGUGCUUUGUUGGGAACUAGGCCUCAGGUCUUUCGCUGGAGGCCACUUCUUUCUAUAUUCAUUUAGGAUCAGGCGGGGGCGCAGGCUGACCUCCCAUCCAGCCCUGUAUCUGAGUGUAGCUCAUUUUAUAUCCAUACCCCAAGGCAACUUGUAUCUUGGUGAUAUGAUCUGGCUGUGUCCCCACAUAAAUCUCACCUUGAAUUGUAAUAAUCCCCAGGUGUCGUGGGAGGUACCCAGUGGAAGGUAAUGAAAUCAUGGGGCAGGUUUUUCCCUUGCUGUUCUCGUGAUAGUGAAUAAGUCUCGUGAGAUCUGGCGGUUUUAGAAAGGGGAGUUUCUCUGCACACGCCCUCUUGCCUGCCACCAUGUAAGACAUGGCUUUGCUCUUCUUUGCCUUCUGCCAUGAUUGUGAGGCCUCUCCAGCCUUGUGAAACUGUAAGUCCAUUAACCCUCUUUCUGUUAUAAAUUACCCAGCCUCGGGUAUGUCUUUAUUAGCAGCUGAGAACAGACUAAUACACUUGGCUAGAAAUGUGUCCUCCCUGGGUGGAUUCUCCUGCUGGGGAGGUGCCGGGGCAGUGGACAUGGCUGCCUGGAGUGAGCCCCUGCCAUCAAUUCCCAGCUGCCUUCAAUGUCAUCCAUAAAAUAGGACAAUACUGCCUCACAGAUAUCCUCAGGAUGAAAUAAGAUGCUGUAUAAAAUGACUUUAAAUGCGGUUACAGUGCUGAUAUGAAUGAAAAGUACCAGGUGAUGAGCCCGCUGGGCAGAGGUCCUCUUUUCAGAUGGCCUCCUUCAUUCCCUUCCUCAUGGGAAGGUCAGCUCCUCAGGAAGUGACUCCUAAAUCUUGCUAAGGAUCCACUUUGCUGCCCUGCGCAUUCCGGGUCUGUUACUAAGUACCUUGAGAGCAUUUUCUUUAGUAAGCACUGUGGUCAGGAUACCCAGUGUCAUCAAUUUGCCCCUGUGAAUAGCUCAGAAGGCCUGUAUCCCUCCCGUGGGAACUGGGCAUGGAGAGGGCAGCCCCUGGGCUUCCUGGACCAGACUGGGGAACUUGGCACCAGGAGGAUUACUGACGAUCCUUGCACACUUCCUGGCACAGGGCGGCUGCAGGUCACCUCACAAGAGUAGAAAAGAAAGAUGACAUCACCCAAUUAUCCCUCAGAUGUGUCUCGGGUGUAAAAAUGUGUUUAAAAUGGGCUGGGCAUGGUGGCUUACGCCUGUAAUCGUAACACUUUGGGAGGCCGAGGCAGGUGGAUCGCGAGGUCAAGAGGUCGAGAUCAUCCUGGCCAACAUGGUGAAACCCCGUCUCUACUAAAAAUACAAAAAUUAGCCAGGCAUUUGGCAUACGCCUGUAGUCCCAGCUACUUGGGAGGCUGAGGCGGAAGAAUCGCUUGAACCCAGGAGGUGGAGGUUGCAGUGAGCCAAGACUGUGCCACUGCACUCCAGCCUGGCGAUAGAGCAAGACUCCGUCUAAAAAAAAAAGAGGCCGGGCGCGGUGGCUCACGCCUGUAAUCCCAGCACUUUGGGAGGCCGAGGCGGGUGGAUCAUGAGGUCAAGAGAUCAAGACCAUCUUGGUCAACAUGGUGAGACCCUGUCUCUACUAAAGAUACAAAAAAUUAGCUGGGCAUGGUGGCGGGUGCCUGUAAUCCCAGCUACUCGGGAGGCUGAGGCAGGAGAAUUGCCUGAACCCAGGAGGCGGAGGUUGCGGUGAGCCGAGAUCGAGCCAUUGCACUCCAGCCUGGGUCACGAGCGAAACUCCGUCUAAAAAAAAAAGCGAGAGUGAGAAUGAAUUUAUUUAUUGUUCUAAAGCUACCUUCCAUAUGUGACCAAAGGUGAGCAGAAAUGGCCUGGCAAGUGUAGCCCUGGUGGGUGACACAGGUGGGGGCGGGGAGGAGAAUCAGAGGCCCCUUUGAGGUGAAACUGGGCUGUGGUGUGGUUGUCCCCACAAAAACUCAUGUGGUUGCCUGGUCCUCAGUGUGGCAAUACUGGGAGGUGGGGCCUUUAAGAGGUAGUGAGUUCAUUCCAAUGGAUGAAUCUCUUUUUCUCUAGACUGAAUUAGGUAAGUUCUUUUUGCAAAACGAGGCCCUCACCAGAAGCUGAGCAGGUGUUGGUGCCAUGCUUCCUAGACUUCUAAGCCUUCAGAACCAUGAGCUAAAUAUGCCUCUUUUGUUUAUAAAUCACCUAGUCUCAGGUAUUCUGUUACAGCAACAGGGAACACUAAGGCACUGUGAAUGCUCGUGUCCACGGCUCCUCAUAGGACCUGGUGUGGGACUCAUUGGCUCAGGGCUUCAAGGCCCCUCAGCUCUUCCUCAGAGUUCGGCUCAUGUUUCUGCUGACCAGCUUCCCACACUUAGGGUUUCAGUCCCCAAGACUUCUGUCUGUAAUGGCUGUAAUGGUCCACAGUGGCACCCAGCCCCAGUCCUCCUGGACUACUCAGGGCAGCCUCACAACCACCAGGUUUGUCUCUCAGCUUCUAGAUUCCAAAUUCCAAAGACAAGAAUCGGACUGGCCCCAGCCCUUUUGUGGGGCACACAUUGCCAAGGGCAUGGGGCAGCCACUGGACAGGCCCUCUUUGGGUCAGCAAUGGCAAGAUAUAGGGUCCCUCUUAAGAACAGUCAUUAGGAGAGCAGCAGCUGUGGGGGCCCUUUAGCCUAGAAGGGAACAUUGGAGGUGGCAGCCAAUCCUCUAACAGGAAUUAACAGAAAACAAGCUAGGUUCCAAUCAGUGCUUAGAGCCCUGGAUUUCACCUCCAAUUUAGUGGCACACAGCAGGCCUCUGAUAACAGAUAAUGACCGGAGGUGCUUAAGCAUUUUGGAUGAGGGAUACUCGACCUGCACCGUUAACUCACUGGACAGCAUCUGAGUUACCCACAGACCCACACCCCUUCUUACUCACUUCGUCUGCGGGAAGCCCGACCAGGACAUGUAGAGCAGAAUGAGGAAGAGGAGCAUCACGAAAGCAGCCAGGCUCACCCAGAGUGCGAUGACGAUGGAAUCUGCGGGAGGAGGAGACGCAUCUCAGUGUCAGUUUGACGUUGACGUCAGGCAACACCGAGGAUUAGUACGGAGCCCUGGGUAUUGUGGAACGAGGGCCCUGAGUGUUUGGUUGUCCUCCAGCCUCUCAGCUGUUACCAUGGGGAAGAUCUUCCAUUAACAAUAACUUUGGGAAAGAACAGCGAAGCCAGGAAGUGUUUUAUUCUCAAGGCAGCUGGCCACGGGGUCUGUUUAGGGUGAUUGUCUGUUAAGAGGAAACAGUGAAUGGAAUUAUGUGCCCGCCACCCCCAUGCAUCUGCUCACCGGGCUCCUAGUGCUGCUCAGAGGAACAGUCCUGAAGGAUGGGAGGGAGAGGAGAGGGCUGUGGGCGGCUCCACGUAUCAGGAGGGACUUCUGGGCCCCCGGAGGGAUGCAGUGCCUCCCAGGGGCCGUUGGUGGAACAGCUUCAGAGACCCCAAGAGUUGGAUGCUUUGAGGAGGAUGUGCACUGGGCUGCAGUGCUCAGGUGGAGAGGCCCUUUCCACUCUACAGGAGUUAGGCUAGGUCUGCUCAGGCUUGGAUCAGUGAGGUAGAAAUAGUGAGUCUCUCCUGGGCAGAAAGUCUCAUCUCAGGGGCUGUGGCAAAAAGGAAAAAGCACUCUUGCCACCUCCUGAUGGCUAUAUUUGUGGCCUGAGGCUGGAGAGGGAACAGGAAACCAGGAAACACACUUAGCCUCUCUGGGACCUGGGUAGAACCUGGCAGGCCAGGAGGGGACCUGCCCCUUCUCCAGGCUCCAGUUCCAGAACGUUCGGCAAGUUGCUAUGGAGCUACUUUCCAGUCCGACAGUUUUUCUUGGUGGUAGUCUACGGCGGUGGGCAAAGGACAUACAGCUCAUAAUUAGGGUCUGCAAGUGUCUUAUCCCAGGCCAACUGCGUGAUGCCAAGAUGCUCCAAGCUGGGUUAUUCUAGACACCUACGUGUGCGGCCAAAAGGGAUUACUAGAGGAUGAUAGUUUAAGGAGAAUUCAUUGAGCCCCUUCUGUGAGGGUCUGUUCAGGAUUCAGAAGGGGCUAAACCAGCACAUCAGAAAUUGCUUACUCCCCCAUUCACAUGCAGUCUUCCACCCCCAGCCUCCUCCUCUUCUGAACUUUUGCAGUGCUUCCAGCACUAAUACUGUGAGCAAAUGAAUGAGAGAAUGUGCAAACCACUGAAAGAAUGAAUAGAGUGAGAGUAAUCUACGUACAGGCGGAGGUGGAGGCUCUAGGGUGAACAGUGGUAUUUGAGUAAAGGGGGUCAACUCUGCCCUCUACCACCCCUGACAGAUAGAAGGAAAAACUGAGGACUCCUAAGAGUUGAUCUUGAACCCUAAAAUUUAACAUUAAAAACAAGAUGUAGUGAGCUGGGCACAGUGGCCCAUGCCUUUAAUCCCAACUCUGAGAGGCCAAGGUGGAAGGAUUACUUUGAGUCCAGAAGUUUGAGACCAGCCUGGGCAACAUAGCAAAACCCCCAUCUCUACCAAAAAAAAAAGUUAAAAUUACCUGGGCAUGGUGAUGUGUGCCCGCAGUCCUAACCACUCAUGAGGCUGGGGCUGGAAGAUCACUUGAGGCCAGGAGUUCAAGGCUGAAGUGAGCUAUGAUCAUGCCACUGCACUCCACCCUGGGCCACAGAGUGAGACGCUGUCUCAAAAAUCAAAGUCAAAGGCUGGGCGCAGUGGAUCACGCCUAUAAUCUCAGUACUUUGGGAGGCUGAGGUGGGCGGAUCACCUGAAGUCAGGAGUUCGAGACCAGCCUGACUAACAUAGAGAAACCCCUUCUCUAUUAAAAAAAAAAAAAAGAAAAAAACAGAAACAAAAAAUCCAAAACAGGGUACAAUGUAAAGGCACAGUACUCGCAAAAGAAUCAUGAGCAUGCAGUGCCUUAUACUCAUCAGCAACUUGGCAUUUACACUCCAUGGGGGCUGGGACAGCAAAGCCCCCCAGGCUGGCUCUCUUAUCUUUCCUCAUUGUCUCCAAGCUGAGAAACUCAUGCAGUCCCCUAGAGCAGUGGACUUUUUAAAGGCACCUCUGGAUUCCUGGGGAAAGGGAAAUGAGGUUGGACUGUCUGUCCUAAGCUUAAGGAUUUUUUUUUUUUGAGAUAGAGUCUUGCUCUGUCACCCAGUCUGGAGUACGCUGGUGCAAUCUCGGCUCACUGCAACCUCUGCCUCCCGGGUUCAAGCAAUUCUCCUGCCUCAGCCUCCCAAGUAGCUGGGAUUACAGGCACCCGCCAUCACGCCCAGCUAAUUUUUGUAUUUUUAGUAGAGAUGGGGUUUCAGCAUGUUAGCCAGGCUAGUCUCAAUCUCCUGACACCAUGAUCCACCCGCCUCAGCCUCCCAAAGUGCUGGGAUUACAGGUGUGAGUCACGGCGUCCGGCCAGCUGAAGGGCUUUUGAAAGAAGCCUCUGACUCUCUUAGCCUUCCUUGCCCACCCCCUGUUCAUUGUUCUACUCUCCCCAAGAGUCACAAUCUAUUUGACAACCCUCACAGUGUAAAAGUACACAUGCUUUCUGAAAAUGUGAUUGGAAGUUUUAUUCUGUAGGGUUUCUGCAGACAUUAACGCUCUUUUUCCUUCAUAAAAACAGUGCAGGGUUUGAGGUCUUACAGCACCUAAGUCAGUUCUACCAGGGAUCUAAGGGAACAGCUUCAAACUCUGUGCCUAAGAGGCCUCUUCUCCCAGACUGACACUUGUCUGAGUCCUUGUCGUCAUCCUUAGAUACUGAGCAAGAAAUAAGGUGACAGGUUUCACAGAGCACAGUGUCUUCAGACAAGUGGGGUCUAAGUUUUGUCAGACCAAAAGGCAAUCCUCAGCCGCUAGUCAUUUUCUGGACUAAAAUCGCUUUCAUCAUGUUCGGUUGAAAAAAACAGGUAAGAGAAUACGGUUCUUUUUCCUCUUUCUAAAGAUUCACUCGAGUGCUUGGAGAGAAUAUUUCGCUCCAAGGACAAGAGGUGUGACUCUCCAGUGUUGGAAAUGUUGAGACAUCCUGGUCUGGUUUUCCCAACAGGGAGCCCCAGGCUGGGUUGACAGUGAAACUGAUCCAGCCAUAGAAACUCCACCUCCUCUCCUCUCCUCCCUUCUCCUCCCUGCCAGUUCUUUCUUCUCUUCCUUCCCUCUCCCCUCUCUUCCCUCCUUCUUUUCUUUCCUUCCCCUCUUGUUCCAUACUGGCAGAAUGAGGGGAAUGAGUCAUCAGCAGCGGAGUGACAAGGAAUGGUUCUGGACGACAUGGCCAGGCUGCACUUCAUCUUGGGGGAUUCUCGUCCUAACUUGGAGUUAACAAAUUCAUCCACUCUGCGGGCUUCCUGCUUAGAAUAGGCACUUCUGUUUUGUUAGAUAAACGGUUUUAGCAUUUCUCCAUUCUUCAUUGUACUAAUGUUUGGGUUCCAGAGUUCUAGUAGAAAAUCAAGAUGUGGCUGGGUGUUGCUGCCUCAUGUCUGUAAUCCCAGCACUUUGGGAGGUCAAGACAAGAGGAUAAUUUGUGUUCAGGAGUUUGAGACCAGCCUGGUCAACCCAGGAGGUUGAGGCUGUAAUAAGCCAAGAUCGCACCACUGCACUCCAUCCUGGGUGACAGAGUGAGACUUAGUCUCAAAAAAAUAAAAAAUAAAAAGGUUUUUUCCUUAUUAGGGAAUAAUAAUGUUAAGAACCCAGGAUCUGGAGGUGGGUGUUUCCUGGCUGAUCUCUAAAUCUUCUCAUUUGUAAGCUGAGGACAUUAGUUCCUAUAUAAUAGGUACUACUUGUAUGGAAUUAUAGAUGUUAGGAGAAUUAAAAUAUGUAUAUGUAGUGCACAUGGCAUCAUUUCUUGUUCCAUGUUUAUGAAAUGAUUUAUAAACAGAACUAAAACUGUUUCUGUUCAGAGGAUUUGUGGCAAGUAAUACCUUUGCAUCCUUCAAGCUCACCGAAAUAUCAGAUAGAAGUACAGGGAAUUAUGGGGUGAGGUGGCUCAUGCCUGUAAUCUCAGCACUUUGGGAGGCCAAGGCGGGUGGAUCACUGAGGUCAGGAGUGGGAGACCGGCCUGGCCAACAUGGUGAAACCCUAUCUCUGCUAAAAAUACCAAACAAAAAAACAAAUUAGGCAUGGUGGCUCAUGCCUAUAAUCCCAGCUACUCAGGAGGCUGAAGCAGGAGAAUCACUUGAACUUGGGAGGCAGAGGUUGCAGUGAGCCGAGAUUGAGCCACUGCACUCCAGCUUGGAUGACAAAGUGAGACUCCAUCUCAAAAAAAAGGAAUUGUGGCAUAGGUUACUAGUUGUCAACAAGGUCAGCCCUUGUGUGCUUCCGUCGUAAUAGAAACUUGCUCGUAUCCGAACACAUGGCCGCCUGGGUUAAAGACUCCAUUUUUUUGCCUCCUUUUCUGAGAACCAUGUGACAAGGUUCUGACCAAUGAGAUAUGAGUGGAGCCCUCACAGGACAGCUUGCAGGAGCCUCCCUCCAGGGAUUGCUAGAUUUCUAGCACUGUGUGUCCUUAUCCCCUUACUCCAUGUUGCUGCCUGAACAUGGAUGUGGUACAGCAUGGCUUGCAACGUGAGGGUGACGGUGGCCAUAUCCCGGGGAUGGCAGAGCAAUGAGCUGGAAGAAUGCGAGUUCCUAAGGACUCCAUGGAGCCGCCUCCCUGUAGACUGAGAGAAACUAACUUCUGUUUCAUCCGGUACUCUGUUAGUUAACCAAUUUUUACCAAGUCAGCAAAGAAACUGACAUUCUCAGUAAAUGUACCAGAACUUAAAAUUCCAAGUAAAAGGUGACCUUCAAAAUAAUCAUCCUCUCUCUACCAUGGAAUCAUAUAAUUCUCACUAAAACACAUGAAUUGAUCAAACACUUAUAGGAUUCUUCUUUUGGAAUUACCUUCAAGGACUCACACAUAGACAGAAUUCUGCUACGUUGUGAGAUUAUUUCAUUUAUGACAUCCAGAUGGUAUCAAUCAGCUUACCCAUUUCAUUCACCUCACUUGUUUCUGGGUGAAUCAUAACUAUUUCCAAAAAGAAAAUUCAUCCUCAAAAGAUAUACACACAACAGAUGUUUCAAAGAAUGUGUCCUGGCCACCCAACAAUGUCAGUUCAAGAAGUUAUUGAGCAACAGCAGAAUCAUUUAAGCGUAGUCCCUCCCCCUGGGGGCCACCUUGAUGGAAAUUCAUUCAGAUGUACACAUUCUGGUACCGUUGUUUAAAAAUUACUUUCACUACUUGUGUCGUGCCCAUGGGACUGAUCAACUGCGGAAGAAUUUGAAGUUUCAGUUAAAGUUUAGGCCUGAAAUUGAUUGCUCUGAAUGAGAGAAAAAGAGUUAUGUGGAGUUGUUUUGUUCAAUCUGUAGUUUGAAUUUUCUACAUUUGUACAGAGAAAUUGAUUGGUGAUGUCUCUUUGUUCUCUUGCUUCCAAUGUUCAGAGAAGCAGAUGACAGUCCAUCCUAUUGAAGCAGCAUGUCCGCAGAGGUCAGUGUGAACUGUGACCAGUUCUUCCUAACCCAGAACUAAAGGGAAGAAGAUAUGUUGACCUGAGAGGUAAAUAAUCAAGCAUUAAACCAGGCACUACUCGAGGGAAAUCAGCCCAUCCUGCUCUCUGAAAGGGAGAAUUAGGCUGGUGUCUGGAGACUCACUAUGUUAGAAUAAUCUGUAUUGCUUCUGUAAGAUUGGUUUUCUUCUAAGCGUAGCCUCAGAAAAGGGCACAGAUGAAGAUCAAACAUGUAAUGAGGCAAUUCAGGCAGGGCCUCAGGAAACAGAUUUGCUUUUUCCACCUUGACGACAGACUGUUGUGAUUCUUAACUUUGCCUUGGAACAGUCAGAGGCCCUGUCUGAAAAUCACAAGGGCAAAAUCCCUGUCAAGUGCCUGCAACAAAAUCACACCAGACUUUGAGCAGUCCCUGGGAAAGGGCAGCCCAGUCUUCAAAUCAGCACCGACUGCUCCAUAUACAAAUAUAUAUAAAUCCCAGCCAGGCGCGGUGGCUCAAGCCUGUAAUCCCAGCACUUUGGGGGGCCGAGGCGGGUGGAUCAUGAGGUCAAGAGAUCGAGACCAUCCUGGUCAACAUGGUGAAACCCUGUCUCUACUAAAAACACAAAAAAUUAGCUGGGCAUGGUGGUGUGUGCCUGUAAUCCCAGCUACUCAGGAGGCUGAGGCAGGAGAAUUGCCUGAACCCAGGAGGCGGAGGUUGCUGUGAGCCGAGAUUGCACCAUUGCUCUCCAGCCUGGGUAACAAGAGCGAAACUCCAUCUCAAAAAAAAAAAAAAAAAAAUAUAUAUAUAUAUAUAUAUAUAUAUAUAUAUAUAUAUAUAAAUCCCUAGAUGUUUCCAAAUAUCUGCCCAAACAUGAUGGGAAAUAUUCCAGCAUAUGUAUGUAUUAGUCUGUUUUCACAUUACUGUAAAGAAAUACCUGAGACCGGGUUAUUUAUAUAGAAAAGAGAUUUCACUGGCUCCUGGUUCUGCAGGCUAUACAGGAAGCACGGCAGCUUCUGCUUCUGGGGAGGCCUCAGGAAACUUACAAUCAUGGCGGAAGGCAGAGGGGGAGCCAUGACUUUAUAUGGCCAGAGCAAGAGAAAGAAAGAGGAGGUAUCACAGACUUUUAAACUACCAGAUUUCAUAACUCACUGUCAUGAGAACAGCAUCGAGGGAAUGGUGCUAACCCAUUGAUGAGAACUCUGUCCCCACAUCCAGUCACCCACUGCCAUGCCCCACCUCUAGCACUGGGGAUUACAAUUCAACAUGACAUUUGGUGGGGACACAGAUCCAAAUCCUAUCAGAGCAUAAACACAAAAAUCUUAAAAUCCAUCCUGCUUGUUAGGUUAAUGCAUGAGCCAUGGGUGUUCUUUGUAUUUUGAUUUCUCCUCUACUUAGAACAAGAGUUGAACCCAGGCUGUCCUCACACAUUUCAGCCAUCUGCCCAAAUGGCGUUCUAGUGAAAACGUGUGUGUAUGUGUGUGUGUGUGUAGAUAGAUGGAGUCUCACUCUGUUGCCAAGCUGGAGUGCAGUGGCAUGAUCUCGGCUCACUGCAACCACUGCCUCCCAGGUUCAAGUGAUUCUCCUGCCUCAGCCUCCUGAGUAGCUGGGAUUACAGGCACCUGCCACCGGAGUUUUGCCCUGUUGGCCACGCUGGUUUUCAAACACCUGACCUCAAGUGAUCCGCCCCUCUGGGCCUCCCGAAGUGCUAGGAUUACAGGUCUGAGCCUCUGCGCCCAGCCUAUUGAAAACACCUGAGCCAGAGCUGUGCCUUUUUACUCCCAUCUCAAAGCAUCCCUGGGCUCUGGGAUCCACCCUCAGCUUCUUCCUGCUUUUGGUGUGUAUUACUGCAGAGAAGGUUUGCAGAACUGGGGUGUGAUGUUUUUCUGAUUUGUUUGACUGGGGAGGAGACCCAGGCUCCAAAGAACUGACCAGCUAAGAAAAGUUGAAUUAAUCAGCAAGGAAGUCAGCAAAGGUAAGUCACCUGCUUUCUGCGGUAUGACCGCUAUCUGCCCUCACCUGACGCAUGCUCACCUCACCCCAUGCCUGAAGCCAGAGAACAGCAUCCCUGAGACUACCUGACACAGAUUUUUGCUCUAGCCUAUUUUAGACAUUUUUUUAAUCUGAAUUCAAAUACUGAGAACAAAAGUACACGUAAAAGUUUCGCUUAACACACAACAGUGGAAGAAGUUUUACUCUCCCCAAGGCCAUUGUUUACCACAGCAAAAUCCUGGAAGCAUCUGUAUGUUCAAAGAUACAAAUUUCUGUAAUGCCAUGCAAAAUUUUUGUGAAGGAAUAUUUAAUGACAUGAAAAAACAAAAUAUGAGGUCACUAUGAACAGAGUACGAAACACAGUGCAGUGAGAUCCUAUUAUAUAUGAUGAUAUAUUAAUACCUAUAUAUUAAUAAUAAUAUAUUAGUAUCAUGUAUAUAUUACUUUAUAUAUUAACUAAUAAAAUAUUAAUAGUAGACACUCUCUGGCUGCUUUAGCUGAAAUCCAAUCCAAAGGUGCUGUUAUAGUCAGAAUGUUGUGUCCCCCAAAAUUCAUAUGUUGAAUCUUUAAUUCCCACUGUGACAAUAUUUGGAGGCAGGGCCCUCAUCUGAUGAAAUUUAGAUGACAUCAUAAUAGUGGCACUCCCAUGAUGGGAUUAGUGUCCUUCUAAGAAGAGGACAAGACACAGGAUUCAUUUGUGCCCCCCUCCCCCCCGUGCCCCCUGAGGAAAGGCCACCAGAAGACACAGCAAGAAGGUGGCCAUCUGCAAGCCAGGAAGGGAGACCUCGCCAGACACUGAAUCUGCUGUCAUCUUGACCUAGGACUUCCAGUCUCUGGAACUGUGUGAAAAUAAAGUUCUGUUGUUUAAACCA